AGGGGAUGCAUAACAAGUCUAGCUGUCGCACAGAGGAACAGGGAACCAAGCCUUUGUCUAAAUUCAGCUUAAACAUUUGAUUGAACGCACCUGGGAAUAAAUCAGAAAUUUAGAAAUCAUAUACGAGAGCUACUAGAAAGAGAUAUAGAGAUAGAAGGAUGGAAAUCUGAAGCUUCAUCUUGUCUGAUAUUGUCAUUUGGGACACAUGAACAGAUCUUCGUAUUUCAACACUUUCAGAAUGAGAAAAAGGGGACCAUGACAUGACUUCAGAACCAGAGGUCAUGUCCAAUUCAAUGUACUUUCCUGAGAGCCUGCACUGUGAACCAGAGAAUUUCAGAGAAAUUUGAGUUGUUGUUUUGGAAGCGGGACUUUUCACAUCUGGAGGAAAAACAAUGAACACAAUGAUUCUUCUUCGUGAAUGAAACAAGUUUAUGUCCGAUUGAAGUGUAUGAUCUGGUGUCGAGGACCAUAAAUAGAUAGUCGAAAAUCUCAGUAAAUCUUUGUCCAUCGGAAACGUCUGGUUUAUAAGAGAGCCAUCAAGAUGUGACCCCUCUGACCCACUUUCAGUCAUCCAACACCACAACACCUGGUUUCCAUGACGACUGUUUCUGGCAAGAUGUCAACAGAU